rnacentral:rRNA from 1 species
GGCGGCAGGCCUAACACAUGCAAGUCGAGCGCGUGUCGCAAGACACGAGCGGCAGACGGGAGGGUAACACGUGGGAACGUACCCUUUGGUUCGGAACAACCCAGGGAAACUUGGGCUAAUACCGAAUAAGCCCUUACGGGGAAAGAUUUAUCGCCGAAGGAUCGGCCCGCGUCUGAUUAGCUAGUUGGUGGGGUAACGGCCCACCAAGGCGACGAUCAGUAGCUGGUCUGAGAGGAUGAUCAGCCUCACUGGGACUGAGACACGGCCCAGACUCCUACGGGAGGCAGCAGUGGGGAAUAUUGGACAAUGGGCGCAAGCCUGAUCCAGCCAUGCCGCGUGGGUGAUGAAGGCCCUAGGGUUGUAAAGCCCUUUCGGCGGGGAAGAUAAUGACGGUACCCGCAGAAGAAGCCCCGGCUAACUUCGUGCCAGCAGCCGCGGUAAUACGAAAGGGGCUAGCGUUGCUCGGAAUCACUGGGCGUAAAGCGCACGUAGGCGGAUUGUUAAGUCAGGGGUGAAAUCCUGGAACUCAGCUCCA